AGCUAUCCCAUGACCUUUGCAGGCCGGUGUGGAGCUUCCCUGCUUGCAGGUGGCACUCAAGUAACAAUCAUGAAUCAUUAAGGUACAUAACUAUCUGGGAGAUCAAAGAGAUCAGGAGCUCGUGGUGAAAGUAGCUGGUGCCAGAUGCUGUGGAGGCAGAGAACAGGCGGGGAGCUGCUUGCCAGAGAUUUCAUCUCUUGCUGUGUUCCAGGUGGCUGCUGGGUCACUUUGGUCAGUGGGAUUGGAAGAGAGCCAUCACCUGCCUCCUGGAUGGUCUGCCAGCCCUGGUGUGUGUUCUGUGCGUGUGAAGCAGAAGCAGAAAGACCCCUCUGAAGCUGAGUGUUGUUGCUCAUUGCUCCCAUUCCAGGUCGCUUAGGGUUUACAAGGUUUGGGAUAGUGCAUCUUUAAAAAGAAAAUACAUGAAAGCAGAUGGCCCUGUGGUAGCUGAGCAUGGAAGGAGACGCCUGAAGAAAGAGUGUUGUGGCAGGAGGGAUGUGUUAGAUGAGGGAGCAGAGACGAGCCAGGAAUGUAAGGAGGCAGCAUGCAGGGGCACACCAUUUCCAGGAGGCUGGAAGCGUAGGAGGUGCUGUACUGCGGUGGCAAAUCUCGUGGAGCAGGUGUGCAGGGGCAAAUUGCCUGCCUGCCACCCCCUGGGCAUCCUGGCAGCAUGUGCUGGGAAAGAGCCAGGGCCAAGGUGUGAAGAGAGGCAAAAACAGGGAGAGGAGAAAGAAAAGGAAGGAAAAAGCCCCAAGAGGAAUGUGGACAAUGUGACAAGACACAGGGGAAGCCACCUGUGAAGGUUAAAGAGGAAAUAUUCUAACUGGCUGAGAUCCCAGUGAGCAAUUACAAAUAUUUUAUUAUAGUUAGAGGACUUGGAAUUCAGCCUCAGACUGUGGGCAUCAGAAAAUCCAUGUGUGGAAAUCCCAAGUGUUGUA